UGGGGAAUAUUGCACAAUGGAGGGAACUCUGAUGCAGCGACGCCGCGUGAGUGAUGAAGGAAUUCGUUUCGUAAAACUCUGUUCUAUGGGAAGAAAAGGACUGUACCAUAGGAGAAAGCUCCGGCUAAAUACGUGCCAGCAGCCGCGGUAAUACGUAUGGAGCGAGCGUUGUCCGGAAUUAUUGGGCGUAAAGGGUGCGCAGGCGGCUGUACAAGUUGGAUGUGAAAUAUUGUGGCUCAACCACAAACGUGCAUCCAAAACUGCAAAGCUUGAGUUAAGGAGAGGUAAGUGGAAUUCCUGGUGUAGCGGUGGAAUGCGUAGAUAUCAGGAGGAAUACCGGUGGCGAAGGCGACUUACUGGGCUCAUUCUGACGCUGAGGAACGAAAGCGUGGGUAGCAAACAGG
rnacentral:rRNA from 1 species